rnacentral:rRNA from 1 species
GACGAACGCUGGCGGCGUGCCUAAUACAUGCAAGUCGAGCGGACUUUCAAGAAGCUUGCUUUUUGAAAGUUAGCGGCGGACGGGUGAGUAACACGUGGGCAACCUGCCUGUAAGACGGGGAUAACUCCGGGAAACCGGGGCUAAUACCGGAUAAUAUCUUUCUUCGCAUGAAGGAAGGUUGAAAGGCGGCGCAAGCUGCCGCUUGCAGAUGGGCCCGCGGCGCAUUAGCUAGUUGGUGAGGUAACGGCUCACCAAGGCGACGAUGCGUAGCCGACCUGGGAGGGUGAUCGGCCAGACUGGGACUGAGACACGGCCCAGACUCCUACGGGAGGCAGCAGUAGGGAAUCUUCCGCAAUGGACGAAAGUCUGACGGAGCAACGCCGCGUGAGCGAAGAAGGUCUUCGGAUCGUAAAGCUCUGUUGUCAGGGAAGAACAAGUACCGUUCGAACAGGGCGGUACCUUGACGGUACCUGACCAGAAAGCCACGGCUAACUACGUGCCAGCCGCCGCGGUAA